UACGUAGGGUGCAAGCGUUGUCCGGAAUUAUUGGGCGUAAAGAGCGUGUAGGCGGCCCGAUUAGUCCGCUGUGAAAGUCCAGGGCUCAACCCUGGAAUGCCGGUGGAUACUGUCGGGCUAGAGUCCGGAAGGGGCGAGUGGAAUUCCUGGUGUAGCGGUGAAAUGCGCAGAUAUCAGGAGGAACACCGGUGGCGAAGGCGGUUCUCUGGGAAUGACCUGACGCUGAGGAGCGAAAGCGUGGGGAGCAAACAGG
rnacentral:rRNA from 1 species